GAUGAACGCUGGCUGCGUGCCUAAUACAUGCAAGUCGAGCGAACAGACGAGGAGCUUGCUCCUUUGACGUUAGCGGCGGACGGGUGAGUAACACGUGGGUAACCUACCUAUAAGACUGGGAUAACUUCGGGAAACCGGAGCUAAUACCGGAUAAUAUUUCGAACCGCAUGGUUCGAUAGUGAAAGAUGGCUUUGCUAUCACUUAUAGAUGGACCUGCGCCGUAUUAGCUAGUUGGUAAGGUAACGGCUUACCAAGGCAACGAUACGUAGCCGACCUGAGAGGGUGAUCGGCCACACUGGAACUGAGACACGGUCCAGACUCCUACGGGAGGCAGCAGUAGGGAAUCUUCCGCAAUGGGCGAAAGCCUGACGGAGCAACGCCGCGUGAGUGAUGAAGGUCUUCGGAUCGUAAAACUCUGUUAUUAGGGAAGAACAAACGUGUAAGUAACUGUGCACGUCUUGACGGUACCUAAUCAGAAAGCCACGGCUAACUACGUGCCAGCAGCCGCGGUAAUACGUAGGUGGCAAGCGUUAUCCGGAAUUAUUGGGCGUAAAGCGCGCGUAGGCGGUUUUUUAAGUCUGAUGUGAAAGCCCACGGCUCAACCGUGGAGGGUCAUUGGAAACUGGAAAACUUGAGUGCAGAAGAGGAAAGUGGAAUUCCAUGUGUAGCGGUGAAAUGCGCAGAGAUAUGGAGGAACACCAGUGGCGAAGGCGACUUUCUGGUCUGUAACUGACGCUGAUGUGCGAAAGCGUGGGGAUCAAACAGGAUUAGAUACCCUGGUAGUCCACGCCGUAAACGAUGAGUGCUAAGUGUUAGGGGGUUUCCGCCCCUUAGUGCUGCAGCUAACGCAUUAAGCACUCCGCCUGGGGAGUACGACCGCAAGGUUGAAACUCAAAGGAAUUGACGGGGACCCGCACAAGCGGUGGAGCAUGUGGUUUAAUUCGAGGCAACGCGAAGAACCUUACCAAAUCUUGACAUCCUUUGACCCUUCUAGAGAUAGAAGUUUCCCCUUCGGGGGACAAAGUGACAGGUGGUGCAUGGUUGUCGUCAGCUCGUGUCGUGAGAUGUUGGGUUAAGUCCCGCAACGAGCGCAACCCUUAAGCUUAGUUGCCAUCAUUAAGUUGGGCACUCUAAGUUGACUGCCGGUGACAAACCGGAGGAAGGUGGGGAUGACGUCAAAUCAUCAUGCCCCUUAUGAUUUGGGCUACACACGUGCUACAAUGGACAAUACAAAGGGCAGCGAAACCGCGAGGUCAAGCAAAUCCCAUAAAGUUGUUCUCAGUUCGGAUUGUAGUCUGCAACUCGACUACAUGAAGCUGGAAUCGCUAGUAAACGUAGAUCAGCAUGCUACGGUGAAUACGUUCCCGGGUCU
rnacentral:rRNA from 1 species